AGUUUUGCCGGUAUUCAGCAGACGAGCGAAGAAAAUCUAGGCGAGCAAAGAAAAUAUAGGUAUGUUUCUAUUUUAUCACCUUCUAUUUUGAACUGCAAGUUUUUUUUUCACUGUUGUUGCCUCUGUUUAUUGCUUUCUCUUAAUUAAGGAAUGCAAUGUGUUUGAUGUUAUGCUAUGAUAGUUUACUUUUCCCUCUGUUUUUUAUUUCAAAUGUUGCAUGAUGCUGUUAGCUGCUUAUCUAUUCAAUAAUUACAUCAUUUAGUAUCAUUGUCCUUUGGCUUAUUAAGGUUGUCAUUUUAUAUAUAUUACUUAGUUUUAGCUAUUCUAGGAUGCUUUGAUUCUGUCAUUUUGUGUGCCUUUGGAUUAGCAUUUUGCUUUGUUUAUAGUAAAAUUAGAUUUUGAUUUUUUGUGUUUCAAAAUGAAAAAAAAAAGAGAAAAUUUAGUACAGGUUUUAGAUUGAUAGAUGAAAUGUUUGAUGAUUCCCCUGAUCUAAGAAUGUUGGAAAGAAACAAAAA